GACCUUAAUGGAAACAGGAAACAUUAGUUGUUUUAGAAAAUAGAGGCUUUCAUUCUUAAGGAAUUGAAAUAUGCAUACUUUGUGCCAGUGGAUGUUUGGGAUUUGUUUCCUUCAUGUAUUGUUUCUGUUUGUCCUCAUUCAAUUACCUAAGAAUUUUUAUGUUGGGAUACUGCUUCCUAACAAGGCUGGAAACUAUGGUCAGUUGUGAGGCUGAGUUACUUCUUUUUGCUGAAGUUAUCACUGUUUCUUAUAUCUUUUAGACACAAAAAAUCUCUCUCCAGUCUUUUGGAGACAGCAUAAAUCUGGCACCUUCUUUUGUCUUCUCACCUUCUUCUCGUGUCUGACACAGCAAACUGCUGUAUUUCAGCUUCUCCAAGCACUCAGAACUCAGGGCCCCUUUGGAGGGACCACAGGAACAUUCCUUUGGCCUAAUAAGGCUGAUGCUGCUCUUUCCCUAAGAUGCAAAACCUCUUUUUCUUCCUCUGAUACACACAAGAUGCAGUGGAUUCCCUGUGCAUGCAGCGAAUGUGCAGAAGUGGACAGUGCAGGAAUUCUACCUGUUCAUUAGGAGCUGCCAGGCUGCUUGCACAACAGCCUCUGCUAGUUUAGGAAUGAGACAGGAGGCGUGGGAAAGGAGCCUACAGACGUCUCAGGGAUGCACCAAACUACAGGGCAACCAAGUCUUUGUUUGUUUAUUCAAAUAAUUGACUCACUUCCAGCUUUCCUAAUAACUGGAAUAUAUUUUAAUGGUAACCUGUAUUGUAAGUAAUGAGCCGGAGUAAUGCAUUGUGUGGGCUCUCAUAGGUUUUCCAUAUAGGCAAUAUUCCUGAGAAUAAUUUCCAUUUGUUCAAUCUUUACAAAUAUUGAAAUAUGGAAAGCAGAGAUGAAAACAAUGUAUUGAACCACUCCUAAAAUGACAUUAAAUGGACUUUAGGAACAUCUCUUAAAAAAUACCAGAGUCGAGAGAAAAGCCCUUUCAUCUUUUGUCAAAAUACCCUUCACAUUUCUGUAUAUUCUGGCGAAAUCCCUGUGCUUGUUUCUGUACCUUCAGUUGGUAAUUGUUUGUUAACCAGACAUGUCUCUUGACAGUUCUGUUAAAACAAGCCUCUCUGCAGUGAAUACUGAAAAGCCACGAUCAAUAAACUAGUAUAUAAUGAUUACAAGUAAUGCGUCUCACUCAGCAUGUAGGGCAAAAAAGAAAAAAAUAAAAGACUCCUGUCUAAUUAUAUUUGAAGUAGACUUGUCUAAAAUUAAGGGAGCACUUGUCCCACAAGGACUGCAGCCAAUUCCACUGAAUCAAUGGAACCUGGGCAGGACUGCCAGCUUUCCUCAUUGAAAUUCCUCCUUCAAGCAUACUUUUGGCAUUAAGCCAUUAGAAAAAGAUGACUGUUACCUAAAAAGAAAAAUGAAGACCAGGCACCACCUGAUAUCUGACAGCUCCUUCUUGUUUUGAGUCUGAACUGUGCUGUUAGUGCAGCUUAGGCCCUGGAUUUGCUCCUCACAGAAGCAUGAUCAACUUUCAGUAAGAAACCUCUCAGGGCAGCUACAGUGGUUAUAGACAUGGUCACAUUUCCUUCUUUUGCUCCCUGACCACAGCUCACUUUUUUUUUUCUUCUUUUUUUUUUUCUUUUUAUUUUUUUUUGGAGGGGGGGUGGUAUUACUCAUCUCAUUGUGAAUUCCUCAGUUUUCCUUCUUAAUCUAAUCCUGCAGAGCACUGUGAUGUUCACUUGUACUCAGUAUGAUAUUUAAUCUCUACCAUUUUUUCCUGUGAGAGAGAUUAGUAAAAUAUAUUCAAACCAACAAACUUCAUUUUUCUCAAGACUUAUUAGCCCUCUAUAACAAGACAGAUAGAUCCAGCUUCUUGAAACACCUGUCCUUCUUUUCUUUAAAAAUAUUAUGUCCAUGACAGCCUGAUUCCACUACACAUGCUCCUUUUUGUUUUACCUAAAAUAGUCCUUUUGAUCUGUUUACAGUCCUUUUUUCUUUUUUUUUUUUUUUUUUCUUUCUCCAGUGACUUCUAAGUAUCCAAACACAUUUCAUAGAAUCAUGUAAUGGUUUGGGUUGGAAUAGACCUUAAAGAUCAUCUAGUUCCAACCCCUCUACUGUGGGCAGGAGCACCCUCCACUAGAACUGGUUGCUCAGAGCUGGCCUUGAACACUUCCAGGGAUGGGGCAUCCACAACUUUUCUGAGCAACCUCUCCCAGUGCCUCACUGUAAAGAAUUUCUGUCUAAUAGAUAAUCUAAACCUAUCCCCUUUCAGUUUAAAGCCACUCCCCAUUAUCCUGUCACUAUAUACUGGUCAAAUGUCCCUCUCCAGCCUUCUUUUAGCCCUCCCUGAGGUACUGGAAGGCAGCUCUCUCAGCCUGUCCUCACAGGAGAGGUACUCCAGCCCUCCAGCCAUGUUUAUGACCCACCUCUGGACUGGCUUCAACAGGUCUAAAUUCACCCUCAGUGCAUGAUGAAAAACAGCCCUUUAUGUUGCAAACCUUUCAGCAUAUAAUGUUCAUCAUAAUACAUUUCAUGAUAUCCUUGGGUGCUGUUAUAAAUGCAUAAUUUAGACAAGACUUGGGUUUGUUGCAGUUCUGCAGCUGCUGAGGAGCAGACUGAAUUGCCCCUGAAGCAGGAAAACUGGACAGUGCAGAAGUGGUGGGGAGAGGCUCUUUCAACCAUCUCAGUGAGAGGUUUGCCUUCCCACUUGGGCUUGGAGGGCUGUGCUCAGAUUGAGUGGAGAACUCUGGAAUGAAGAUUUACAGCUCCAGCCUCAAACCUCCAAGGGUUCUCAUCAGGGGAUUAAUUCCUCCUUCUCAUCUUCAUCAGGAGCAUGCACUUGAGCCUCUGCGUGGGAAAUGGACACGUCUUCUCCAUGUGGCAGAAACACCCAGCCAUUUAAUACACCCAUCAGCUAAUGGAUGGACAGUAUCCCAGCCAGUUGUACCUAGGUACAGAAUGCAGAUUUAUUAUCCCCAGUUGCAAGCACUAUCAGGAGCACAAGGAAUUACUGGAUAUAUUUUAUAAUAGAAUAAAGAGAUUGUAAGGGAAAUGGAGCCUCAAGGGAAAAAGUUCAGACAUCCUGAAGACAACAAGCAGAGGUACUUAGGAGGAUGCAUAUUGUGCUUAAACACAAGUCCAUCAGAGGCAGCUGAGUCCCAUGUCACAGAAUAAGAUCAUGUCUUGGUGUCAUUCUAUGAGAGCUAUGAAGAUUCACUUGAAGAUCCAUUGUGAAGGCUGGAAGUCAUGUUGUCAAAGGACUUGUCCUGAGAAGAAAGACACAGGAUGAAUUCUAGCCCGGUGCCGUGCAGGUGAACCUUGUCGUCUGGAGGGGAGUCAUAUUGCAGGACUCCAGCACCAGGCCCAAGUAGGGCCCUCUUUGGCCCCUUGCUGGCACACAUGGGCACCUCCUAAGGCUCUUGUCUUGCCCUUGUCUUUUUCCUCACCUGCUCUCCAUGGCCCUUCACUCUGGGCAGGGUUAUGGUGGUUGCUGAUUGCUGCUGGUCAUUUCAGACAGACUUUUUAGCUCCCUCAAUGUUUCUGACCCUGCCCCAUCCUGGACAUGGCUAUAAAUUAUGUUCCUUCUUCACAUCUUGCCCCAGCUUUGGUUCUAUUUUCUGUCCCUCUCCCUCAGUCUCCAAAGUGUUUGAUAUAUGUUUUUCAUUUACUUGGUGUGGGUAUGCAAUGGGCACAGGAGCUAAUUAGUGACUGAUGGGUUUUAAAUUUAAUCUCAUGGUGCAGCCAUGCCUUGAAUGUAAAUAAUGCAUGUGCUUUUGGGUCAACAUGUGGGGUCCUAUUGAAAUAAUUCCAAUAUAUGUCCAGAUGGGACUUGUCCAGGCUUGUCUAGCCUCUGCUGCUUGACCGAAAGGCGGCACUGCGGUGUUUCCACCUCAGACACCUCUGGCUGGUGGAUGCUGCAGCUGGCCUGGAGACAAGUCCAGACAUGCAAAGUCCCAGUGUUACCUCUGUGCAGAUGCUUUAAGGCGAGGUGAAGGAAAGGAGUGGAUUCUACCAGAGUUUCAAUCCAGAGUUUAUUCAGAUGGCAGGCUUCUGAAUCCCAUAACAGCUCUAACAGAAUCCCAAACCACGUGGUUGUUGGGUCUUUUAAGCCCAGGGAGAGGGGGAGGGAAGGAGUAGGGAUCUCACCAACCAGGUGCAGGGUGGGCAGGUCUCAGGUGCAAGGGACACCUGGGUGGGCCAAUGGCCCCCCCCAGGGAUGGAGGGCAUCUUUUGAACACUGCAAAUCACUCAACGCCCUUCUGGAAUGCCAAGGUUGAUAGACAGCAUCCAGCAUGCAUCAGGGUGGGGGAGAAGGUGAUUGACACCUGGGAAAGGACAGGGAUACCUGAGACAAACUAUGACAUCACACUGCUACAGGUACCUUUGAGAGCCCUUCAGAGGAGACCAACCUGCUGCUCAGGACAGGUGAGAUCUCUGCAAAAAACCUCUGAAAUACUCAGAAGACUUGAUGUUUGCUACUCACGCACUGCUUUGGAAACUUCCCUCAGUGCUCAACUACUUGCCGCCGAAGAAGUGCAUGAAAACGUGAAAAGUGAAAAAUUCCCUGUGAAUCUUUAGAAAGGGAUCUAUGGGCAAAUUUGGAGGAGUUGGUCAAGCUUUUAGAUAACCUCCAUUUCUGACCCCCCUCUGCCUCUAUUUACUAAAAUAAAUUGAGUUUGAACAAAGGGAGUAAAAUCAAGGAAAAGAUGCUUCUAAAGUGAAACUCUUAACAAUAAAUAAAAUGAGAAAACAAAUCAGAGUAAAGUAAGUGCAUCAAGAUGAUCCCAAUAAUCUCAACACAAAACCAGUUAAUCCUUAUAAGCAUUGAGAGAGGCUCUUCAGGAAGCAGCUGUCCCUUUGGUUACAAACACACUAGAGUCAAUUUAGCAUGGAAACUGGAGCUGCUUAAAUAGUUUACUUUUGAGACAUUACUAUCUGAUGUUCACAUCACAGAGCCCGUUAUAAAGCUCCCGUCUUAGAUUUCCCUUCUCACAUAGAAGGUAACCCUUUCCUCCCCUCUGCUAGCAGAUUCCAACAGAUGACAGAUUUCAACAGAACAACUCUAAUAAACAGAUUUUUGACAGGUCAUAUUAGCCAGAAACUAUCUGGGGCAACGGCAAGGGCUCCUUUAGCACAAAAUAAUUUUUCUUUAUGUGCCAACAUUUAAAUCUAAAAUAUUUUCUUCAGAGUUCAGAUUUUAGGGACAGACGCAUGCAUGCACACAGCAAUGCUUUCAUGGCAUAGAGUGAAGUCUAAGAAAGUCCAGAAAUUUCCCAGACAUCGAACACAACCAGCAAACAUUGAUAAAGAAGCCACUUCCCAUAGGACUGGGCCUGGAGCUGCAGUCAUGGACACAGCAGAUGUCCUCUUGGCUCAGUGCUUCUCCUGCACAGACCUUGUUUGGGUGCUGGCUGGGAAGCAGGAGGCAGGGACAACAUAAUCAGCAGAGUUUUGACAAUGUCUCUUUAAAAUAACUGUAUUUGGGGGGCUGGAGGGCCAGUCUUCUCUCAACAGGUUCAUUGACCUUAAAGGUGAGAUAUCCCAGACUGAUCCUUCGUGUUUGUGAGCUUUGCUUACUUGGCCUGGGGACACCUCCCUCCCCCAGCUGCAAGCAAAUCUGCUGCAAGGACUGAUUUGGAGCUACCCCAGAUUUGAAUUUAGCAAGUGGCAGGUUUGGGAAAAGUCCCAUUUAUGUCCACAGAAUAAAAAGCAUUUGGUGCCUUAUAGAGCAGACACUGUACGUCUGCACACGUUUCCCUUCCCUAAGCCUUCGUUUCCCUCCCUCUCCCCUGUUUUGUAAGUAAAACAAAUUAACAUGCAAGAUGUUUCCUGAAGAUUUUGGCAUAGUCUUAUCUGGAUAAAAGGUCUCAUGAUGACUCUGUUGCCAACUUAUAGAAAUUUCAACACAAAACUAUUCUAUAAAAAUAGCUGCUUGCCAUGGUUUGUUUGUUUUCAUCCCAACCACUGCUUGACAUUCCCUCAUCUGCAAAAAUAAAUGUGUACAAUUUAUUACUUCUGGCAUCAUUCUUCUCCUAAAGAAGGCAACUUACAGUCAGCGUUCUAUUUUGGAAAUAAGCUAGAAGUCAAGCAGUUUGUCUCUUGUACACUUUGAGAGUAGCAAAACUUGCUAGUUAUUUCUUUGCUGACUUAGCCUCUGAGCAGUGCUGGGCAUGCUGCCUGAAGCUUCCACAGCUGAUCCCAAAACCUCUUGUACCCCACCAAGAACAGUACUUGCAGUAGCCCUUUGCAGAAGGAGUGGCC